rnacentral:rRNA from 1 species
AUACGUAGGGUGCGAGCGUUGUCCGGAAUUACUGGGCGUAAAGAGCUCGUAGGUGGUUUGUCGCGUCGUCUGUGAAAUUCCGGGGCUUAACUCCGGGCGUGCAGGCGAUACGGGCAUAACUUGAGUACUGUAGGGGAGACUGGAAUUCCUGGUGUAGCGGUGAAAUGCGCAGAUAUCAGGAGGAACACCGGUGGCGAAGGCGGGUCUCUGGGCAGUAACUGACGCUGGGGAGCGAAAGCAUGGGUAGCGAACAGGAUUAGAUCCCCUGGUAGUCCAUGCCGUAAACGGUGGGCGCUAGGUGUAGGGGUCUUCCACGACUUCUGUGCCGUAGCUAACGCAUUAAGCGCCCCGCCUGGGGAGUACGGCCGCAAGGCUAAAACUCAAAUGAAUUGACGGGG